GACGAACGCUGGCGGCGUGCCUAAUACAUGCAAGUAGAACGCUGAAGGAGGAGCUUGCUUCUCUGGAUGAGUUGCGAACGGGUGAGUAACGCGUAGGUAACCUGCCUGGUAGCGGGGGAUAACUAUUGGAAACGAUAGCUAAUACCGCAUAAGAGUAGAUGUUGCAUGACAUUUGCUUAAAAGGUGCAAUUGCAUCACUACCAGAUGGACCUGCGUUGUAUUAGCUAGUUGGUGGGGUAACGGCUCACCAAGGCGACGAUACAUAGCCGACCUGAGAGGGUGAUCGGCCACACUGGGACUGAGGCACGGCCCAGACUCCUACGGGAGGCAGCAGUAGGGAAUCUUCGGCAAUGGACGGAAGUCUGACCGAGCAACGCCGCGUGAGUGCAGAAGGUUUUCGGAUCGUAAAGCUCUGUUGUAAGAGAAGAACGAGUGUGAGAGUGGAAAGUUCACACUGUGACGGUAUCUUACCAGAAAGGGACGGCUAACUACGUG
rnacentral:rRNA from 1 species